CGACUGUUCUUAUUCAGUGCGGCUUGAAAAUCUGUUACAAAACAGUUCAACCUUUAUUUUAUUUCCAGCUUUCUCGUGAAUGCACUUGUCUGGCAUUCCAGCUUUUAAGGAAGUCUUUGAAUUCACCUCCCGCCUGCGGAGGACUGAGACUGAAGAUCGCCAGUGCGGUCAGCACACGGGUCUGUGGCUUAUAGAGUACGUUGGUUUAUAUAUCCACACCGACACUCACUCACAGCAGCUGCAGCAUUGAAGUGACUGGUGGGGAUGUGGAAAUCUCCUCAUUCAGUUAAUUCUGUAAUUGUCUAAAACUCCAUAUUUUGUCCCUGCCUUAACAUAUACAGUCUAUCUCAUCAUCAUACGGACAUCCUACGUUUAGAUAAAACAGAUUUAUAUGGCCAUUUGAGAUGCACAGAAAGAUUGCUCCUGAUCGGUCUGGCCUCUUGAGAUUCAAGAUCAGUCCUGAGUUUCCCAGUAACUCAGUUGAACUCCUCUGCCUGAUGUGCUGUGGAGCUCCAGUGAUAAUGGAUAAUAACUCAUUUAGCUGCUGCUGCACUUCAGUGAGAGAUAAAGCUGGUCCCCUCCUAGACAUCAAGUGCCUUAGAGCCCAUUGGAGCCAAAGGUAUGACUGGGGUGGUGUGGACCCAGCUGGGUCCCACAAAUAUCUCUCACCGGGAAGAUUACUUUUGUGCCUGGCCUGGUCCACAGAUUCAUGCAGAGCACAUUACACUUGAAGAUCUCCUCUCUUGUGGAAACAUCCUGUACUUUGGGCCCCUUGGACAGAGGAAAGUGUCAGGAUUGCUGGCUGGUGGAAGAGUACAAAAUACAGCAGUGCUGGCAGUCACAGGCCUUUACCCUGAGUCCCUGAGCUGGGAGCAUCAUGAGGACACCUGGACAGUCAACACAUUCUACAGCUUCACCUGUAUAAGAGGUCACUCUUAACAGCAGUUUCUUACAUCAUUAAUAGGGAGUCGUGAUGCAGGGUUUUCUCUUUCAGUGGAUUAAUAUUGCUCACUCCCAGUUUUUGAACAAAUGUUGAUAUAAAAAGAUUGAAUUGUUAGGAAAACAAUACAGGGAUCAUUGUAUCACUUGAUACACGUCUAAUUAAAAUUAAUAUUAAUAAACAACCCUGGCGGGCAGAGACAUAAAUGAUGUUUCGCCGAUUCUCCAUGUUCAGUAACAGCUCUGCACCUGGAGCAACAACUGUUGAACCUCUGUCUCUUGUAUUUAAAAUAAUCUGUUCAUACAGUAGUUCAAUGUUUCAUGUUUUGUUUUUGUAAAAAAAGAGAAAAUGUAAACUGGCUUAGUAUGUAAACGCAGAAUGGUCUUCUUCUUUGUCUUUUUCUGAGUAAAGUCCUGUUUCUUCCUAGUUGUGUCUAUGCUGUAGGUACUGUACCGAUCUCUUGGAGAACUGGAUGGAGAUCAAUGAUUUACAUAUGUUAAAUAUAUGCCCUAAAGUAGUGAAGAAUAGAUGUUGCUUUGGAGAAAAGCUUUUGAGUUGGAUUCUGCAUCAUACACAUUAAAAGUUAAUUCCUUGAGUGUUAAAAGUUGAUUUUUUUUCCGUCACUGAU